rnacentral:rRNA from 1 species
CCUACGGGAGGCAGCAGUAGGGAAUAUUGCUCAAUGGGGGAAACCCUGAAGCAGCAAAGCCGCGUGGAGGAUGAAGGUUUUCGGAUUGUAAACUCCUUUUGUUAGAGAAGAUAAUGACGGUAUCUAACGAAUAAGCACCGGGUAACUCCGUGCCAGCAGCCGCGGUAAUACGGAGGGUGCAAGCGUUACUCGGAAUCACUGGGCGUAAAGAGGGCGUAGGCGGGAUAGCAAGUCAGAUGUGAAAUCCUAUGGCUUAACCAUAGAACUGCAUUUGAAACUGUUAGUCUAGAGUAUGGGAGAGGUAGGUGGAAUGCUUGGUGUAGGGGUAAAAUCCGUAGAGAUCAAGAGGAAUACUCAUUGCGAAGGCGACCUGCCAGAACAUAACUGACGCUGAGGCGCGAAAGCGUGGGGAGCAAACAGGAUUAGAUACCCGUGUAGUC